AGACCUGUGGUGUAAUGGUAACACAGCAGAUUUUGGUUCUGUUAUUCUUGGUUCGAGUCCAGGCAGGUCUA
rnacentral:tRNA from 2 species